UGAGCAAUCUGCCCUUCUCAUCGGAAUAAGCGUUGGAAACGACGUCUAAUGCCGAAUACGACCUCCUUUCGCAUGAUCGGAGGUGGAAAGUUCCGGCGGAGAAGGAUGAGCUCGCGGCCUAUCAGCUAGUUGGUGUGGGUAAUGGCCCACCAAGGCGACGACGGGUAGCCGGCCUGAGAGGGUGACCGGCCACACUGGGACUGAGACACGGCCCAGACUCCUACGGGAGGCAGCG
rnacentral:rRNA from 1 species